rnacentral:rRNA from 1 species
GUGACUGCGUACCUUUUGUAUAAUGGGUCAGCGACUUAUAUUCUGUAGCAAGGUUAACCGAAUAGGGGAGCCGGAGGGAAACCGAGUCUUAACUGGGCGUUAAGUUGCAGGGUAUAGACCCGAAACCCGGUGAUCUAGCCAUGGGCAGGUUGAAGGUUGGGUAACACUAACUGGAGGACCGAACCGACUAAUGUUGAAAAAUUAGCGGAUGACCUGUGGCUGGGGGUGAAAGGCCAAUCAAACCGGGAGAUAGCUGGUUCUCCCCGAAAGCUAUUUAGGUAGCGCCUCGUGAAUUCAUCUCCGGGGGUAGAGCACUGUUUCGGCUAGGGGGCCAUCCCGGCUUACCAACCCGAUGCAAACUGCGAAUACCGGAGAAUGUUAUCACGGGAGACACACGGCGGGUGCUAACGUCCGUCGUGAAGAGGGAAACAACCCAGACCGCCAGCUAAGGUCCCAAAGUCAUGGUUAAGUGGGAAACGAUGUGGGAAGGCCCAGACAGCCAGGAUGUUGGCUUAGAAGCAGCCAUCAUUUAAAGAAAGCGUAAUAGCUCACUGGUCGAGUCGGCCUGCGCGGAAGAUGUAACGGGGCUAAACCAUGCACCGAAGCUGCGGCAGCGANNGUUGGGUAGGGGAGCGUUCUGUAAGCCUGUGAAGGUGGCCUGUGAGGGUUGCUGGAGGUAUCAGAAGUGCGAAUGCUGACAUAAGUAACGAUAAAGCGGGUGAAAAGCCCGCUCGCCGGAAGACCAAGGGUUCCUGUCCAACGUUAAUCGGGGCAGGGUGAGUCGACCCCUAAGGCGAGGCCGAAAGGCGUAGUCGAUGGGAAACGGGUUAAUAUUCCCGUACUUGGUGUUACUGCGAAGGGGGGACGGAGAAGGCUAUGUUGGCCGGGCGACGGUUGUCCCGGUUUAAGCGUGUAGGUGUGUGUUCCAGGUAAAUCCGGUUCACUUUAACACUGAGGCGUGACGACGAGGCACUACGGUGCUGAAGCAACAAAUGCCCUGCUUCCAGGAAAAGCCUCUAAGCAUCAGGUAACAUCAAAUCGUACCCCAAACCGACACAGGUGGUCAGGUAGAGAAUACCAAGGCGCUUGAGAGAACUCGGGUGAAGGAACUAGGCAAAAUGGUGCCGUAACUUCGGGAGAAGGCACGCUGACACGUAGGUGAAGUGAUUUACUCAUGGAGCUGAAGUCAGUCGAAGAUACCAGCUGGCUGCAACUGUUUAUUAAAAACACAGCACUGUGCAAACACGAAAGUGGACGUAUACGGUGUGACGCCUGCCCGGUGCCGGAAGGUUAAUUGAUGGGGUCAGCGCAAGCGAAGCUCCUGAUCGAAGCCCCGGUAAACGGCGGCCGUAACUAUAACGGUCCUAAGGUAGCGAAAUUCCUUGUCGGGUAAGUUCCGACCUGCACGAAUGGCGUAAUGAUGGCCAGGCUGUCUCCACCCGAGACUCAGUGAAAUUGAACUCGCUGUGAAGAUGCAGUGUACCCGCGGCAAGACGGAAAGACCCCGUGAACCUUUACUAUAGCUUGACACUGAACAUUGAGCCUUGAUGUGUAGGAUAGGUGGGAGGCUUUGAAGUGUGGACGCCAGUCUGCAUGGAGCCGACCUUGAAAUACCACCCUUUAAUGUUUGAUGUUCUAACGUGGACCCGUUACCCGGGUUGCGGACAGUGUCUGGUGGGUAGUUUGACUGGGGCGGUCUCCUCCUAAAGAGUAACGGAGGAGCACGAAGGUUGGCUAAUCCUGGUCGGACAUCAGGAGGUUAGUGCAAUGGCAUAAGCCAGCUUGACUGCGAGCGUGACGGCGCGAGCAGGUGCGAAAGCAGGUCAUAGUGAUCCGGUGGUUCUGAAUGGAAGGGCCAUCGCUCAACGGAUAAAAGGUACUCCGGGGAUAACAGGCUGAUACCGCCCAAGAGUUCAUAUCGACGGCGGUGUUUGGCACCUCGAUGUCGGCUCAUCACAUCCUGGGGCUGAAGUAGGUCCCAAGGGUAUGGCUGUUCGCCAUUUAAAGUGGUACGCGAGCUGGGUUUAGAACGUCGUGAGACAGUUCGGUCCCUAUCUGCCGUGGGCGCUGGAGAACUGAGGGGGGCUGCUCCUAGUACGAGAGGACCGGAGUGGACGCAUCACUGGUGUUCGGGUUGUCAUGCCAAUGGCACUGCCCGGUAGCUAAAUGCGGAAGAGAUAAGUGCUGAAAGCAUCUAAGCACGAAACUUGCCCCGAGAUGAGUUCUCCCUGAGACUUAGAGUCUCCUGAAGGAACGUUGAAGACGACGACGUUGAUAGGCCGGGUGUGUAAGCGCAGCGAUGCGUUGAGCUAACCGGUACUAAUGAACCGUGAGGCUUAACCUUACAACGCCGAAG